rnacentral:rRNA from 1 species
GACGAACGCUGUCGGCGUGCUUAACACAUGCAAGUCGAACGGAAAGGCCCUGCUUUUGUGGGGUGCUCGAGUGGCGAACGGGUGAGUAACACGUGAGUAACCUGCCCUUGACUUUGGGAUAACUUCAGGAAACUGGGGCUAAUACCGGAUAGGAGCUCCUGCUGCAUGGUGGGGGUUGGAAAGUUUCGGCGGUUGGGGAUGGACUCGCGGCUUAUCAGCUUGUUGGUGGGGUAGUGGCUUACCAAGGCUUUGACGGGUAGCCGGCCUGAGAGGGUGACCGGCCACAUUGGGCCUGAGAUACGGCCCAGACUCCUACGGGAGGCAGCAGUGGGGAAUAUUGCACAAUGGGCGGAAGCCUGAUGCAGCAACGCCGCGUGCGGGAUGACGGCCUUCGGGUUGUAAACCGCUUUCGCCUGUGACGAAGCGUGAGUGACGGUAAUGGGUAAAGAAGCACCGGCUAACUACGUGCCAGCGGCCGCGGUGAUACGUAGGGUGCGAGCGUUGUCCGGAUUUAUUGGGCGUAAAGGGCUCGUAGGUGGUUGAUCGCGUCGGAAGUGUAAUCUUGGGGCUUAACCCUGAGCGUGCUUUCGAUACGGGUUGACUUGAGGAAGGUAGGGGAGAAUGGAAUUCCUGGUGGAGCGGUGGAAUGCGCAGAUAUCAGGAGGAACACCAGUGGCGAAGGCGGUUCUCUGGGCCUUUCCUGACGCUGAGGAACGAAAGCGUGGGGAGCGAACAGGCUUAGAUACCCUGGUAGUCCACGCUGUAAACGGUGGGUACUAGGUGUGGGGUCCAUUCCACGGGUUCCGUGCCGUAGCUAACGCUUUAAGUACCCCGCCUGGGGAGUACGGCCGCAAGGCUAAAACUCAAAGGAAUUGACGGGGCCCCGCACAAGCGGCGGAGCAUGCGGAUUAAUUCGAUGCAACGCGUAGAACCUUACCUGGGUUUGACAUGGAUCGGGAGUGCUCAGAGAUGGGUGUGCCUCUUUUGGGGUCGGUUCACAGGUGGUGCAUGCCUGUCGUCAGCUCGUGUCGUGAGAUGUUGGGUUAAGUCCCGCAACGAGCGCAACCCUUGUUCACUGUUGCCAGCACGUUAUGGUGGGGACUCAGUGGAGACCGCCGGGGUCAACUCGGAGGAAGGUGGGGAUGACGUCAAGUCCUCAUGCCCCUUAUGUCCAGGGCUUCACGCAUGCUACAAUGGCUGGUACAGAGAGUGGCGAGCCUGUGAGGGUGAGCGAAUCUCGGAAAGCCGGUCUCAGUUCGGAUUGGGGUCUGCAACUCGACCUCAUGAAGUCGGAGUCGCUAGUAAUCGCAGAUCAGCAACGCUGCGGUGAAUACGUUCCCGGG